AGAAAAAAAGCCGGAAUAGCUC
rnacentral:tRNA from 1 species